AGAGUUUGAUCCUGGCUCAGGAUAAACGCUGGCGGCGUGUUUAAGGCAUGCAAGUCGAGGGAUCGGAUUACCUUCGGGUAAUUACGGACCGGCAAACGGGUGAGUAACACACUAGUAACCUACCUUCGAGAUGGGGAUAGCCCGAAGAAAUUCGGAUUAAUACCCAAUAGUCAUGAGAGGACAUAUGUCAUUCUCAUGUAAACCUACGGGGCUCGAAGAGGGGCUUAUGGCUGAUUAGCUAGUUGGUAAGGUAAUGGCUUACCAAGGCUAUGAUCAGUAGCAGGCGUGAGAGCGUGACCUGCCUCACUGGGACUGAGACACUGCCCAGACUCCUACGGGAGGCUGCAGUCAAGAAUCUUCCGCAAUGGCCGAAAGGCUGACGGAGCGACGCCGCGUGCAGGAAGACGCCUUUAGGGGUGUAAACUGCUUUUAUCUCUGACGAAUUCGUGACGGUAAGAGAUGAAUAAGAGGUUGCUAACUCUGCGCCAGCAGCAGCGGUAAUACAGAGACCUCAAGCGUUAUCCGGAACCAUUGGGCGUAAAGGGUCCGCAGGUGGUAAAGUAAGUUAAUGAUAAAAGCUUUGGGCUUAACCCAAAGACUGUCAUUAAAACUGCUAAACUUGAGGCUGGGAGAGGCAAGCGGAACUAUAGGUGUAGUCGUAAUAAGCGCUGAUAUCUAUAGGAACACCAAAGGCGAAGGCAGCUUGCUAGUACAUGCCUGACACUCAUGGACGAAAGCGUGGGGAGCGAAGCGGAUUAGAUACCCGCGUAGUCCACGCCGUAAACGAUGUGCACUAGGUAUUGAGAGUUUCGACCCUCUCAGUGCCGUUGAAAAAAGCUAACGCGUUAAGUGCACCGCCUGGGGAGUACGAUCGCAAGAUUAAAACUCAAAGGAAUAGACGGGGACCCGCACAAGCGGUGGAUCAUGCGGUUUAAUUCGAUGAUACGCGGCGAACCUUACCUGGGCUUGACAUAUAGCUGCAUAUCCCUAGAAACAGGGAUAGCCUUCGAGGGUGCUAUACAGGUGCUGCAUGGUUGCCGUCAGCUCGUGCCGUGAGGUGUACCCUUAAGUGGGGUAACGAGCGCAACCCUCGUUGUGUGUUAAAUGUACACACAAGACUGCCCGGGCAACCGGGAGGAAGGAGUGGACGACGUCAAAUCAGCAUGACUCUUACGUCUGGGGCCACACACAUGUUACAAUGGCCGGUACAACGGGUAGCCAAAUCGCGAGAUGGAGCUAAUCCCACAAAACCGGUCUCAGUUCGGAUUGAAGGCUGCAACUCGCCUUCAUGAAGUCGGAAUCGCUAGUAAACGUGCAUCAGCCAUGGCGCGUUGAAUACGUUCUCGGGUCUUGUACUCACCGCCCGUCAUACCACGAAAGCUGGUAAUACCCGAAGGCUUCUUUUUAGAGGACGAAGGUAGGAUCAGUGAUCAGGGUAAAGUCGUAACAAGGUA
rnacentral:rRNA from 1 species